UUAACGCUGAGGCGUGACGACGAGGCACUACGGUGCUGAAGUGAUAAAUGCCCAGCUUCCAGGAAAAGCCUCUAAGCAUCAGGUAACACAGAAUCGUACCCCAAACCGACACAGGUGGUCAGGUAGAGAAUACCAAGGCGCUUGAGAGAACUCGGGUGAAGGAACUAGGCAAAAUGGUGCCGUAACUUCGGGAGAAGGCACGCUGGCGCGUAGGUGGAGGGACUUGCUCCCCGAGCCGAAGCCAGUCGAAGAUACCAGCUGGCUGCAACUGUUUAUUAAAAACACAGCACUGUGCAAACACGAAAGUGGACGUAUACGGUGUGACGCCUGCCCGGUGCCGGAAGGUUAAUUGAUGGGGUUAUCCGCAAGGAGAAGCUCUUGAUCGAAGCCCCGGUAAACGGCGGCCGUAACUAUAACGGUCCUAAGGUAGCGAAAUUCCUUGUCGGGUAAGUUCCGACCUGCACGAAUGGCGUAAUGAUGGCCAGGCUGUCUCCACCCGAGACUCAGUGAAAUUGAACUCGCUGUGAAGAUGCAGUGUACCCGCGGCAAGACGGAAAGACCCCGUGAACCUUUACUACAGCUUGACACUGAACAUUGAGCCUUGAUGUGUAGGAUAGGUGGGAGGCUUUGAAGCGCGGACGCCAGUUCGCGUGGAGCCAACCUUGAAAUACCACCCUUUAAUGUUUGAUGUUCUAACGUAGGCCCGUAAUCCGGGCUGCGGACAGUGUCUGGUGGGUAGUUUGACUGGGGCGGUCUCCUCCUAAAGAGUAACGGAGGAGCACGAAGGUCAGCUAAUCACGGUCGGACAUCGUGAGGUUAGUGCAAUGGCAUAAGCUGGCUUGACUGCGAGAGUGACGGCUCGAGCAGGUGCGAAAGCAGGUCAUAGUGAUCCGGUGGUUCUGAAUGGAAGGGCCAUCGCUCAACGGAUAAAAGGUACUCCGGGGAUAACAGGCUGAUACCGCCCAAGAGUUCAUAUCGACGGCGGUGUUUGGCACCUCGAUGUCGGCUCAUCACAUCCUGGGGCUGAAGUAGGUCCCAAGGGUACGGCUGUUCGCCGUUUAAAGUGGUACGCGAGCUGGGUUUAGAACGUCGUGAGACAGUUCGGUCCCUAUCUGCCGUGGGCGCUGGAGAAUUGAGGGGGGUUGCUCCUAGUACGAGAGGACCGGAGUGAACGCACCACUGGUGUUCGGGUUGUCAUGCCAAUGGCAUUGCCCGGUAGCUAAGUGCGGAAAAGAUAAGUGCUGAAAGCAUCUAAGCACGAAACUUGCCCCGAGAUGAGUUCUCCCUGACUCCUUGAGAGUCCUGAAGGGACGUUGAAGACUACGACGUUGAUAGGCCGGGUGUGUAAGCGCAGCGAUGCGUUGAGCUAACCGGUACUAAUGACCCGUGAGGCUUAACCUU
rnacentral:rRNA from 1 species